rnacentral:lncRNA from 1 species
UGAAAUAUGGCAGAUGGAUGUCAAAACCGCUUUCCUUAAUGGAAAGUUGGCUGAAGAUGUUUACAUGAGUCAGCCAGAGGGUUUUGUCAGCAACGAGUACCCUAAUAGAGUGUGUAAGCUUGAGAAAUCCAUUUAUGGAUUGAAGCAAGCACCUCGCAGAUGGAAUCUUUGCUUUGAUGAAAAGGUCAAGGAAUUUGGCUUUUCUAGGAGUGAAGAUGAAUCUUGUGUGUAUGUCAAGGCUAGUGGGAGUAUAGUUAGCUUUUUGGUAUUGUAUGUGGAUGACAUACUACUCAUAGGAAACGACAUUCCAACCCUGCAGGAAGUAAAGUCCUGGCUUGGGAAGUGUUUCGCUAUGAAGGACCUUGGUGAAGCUGCCUAUAUUCUAGGGAUAAGAAUCUUGAGAGAUCGGAGUAAAAGACUAAUUGGACUUAGUCAGAGUACCUACUUGGAUAAGGUGCUGAAGAGAUUCAGCAUGCAGGAUUCCAAGAAAGGAGAGUUACCCAUCCAGAGUAACACCAGAUUGAGUAAGACACAAAGCCCUAGCACUGAGGCUGAGAUAGCAGAAAUGAGUCGAACACCUUACGCUUCGGCUGUAGGAUCGAUCAUGUAUGCUAUGACGUGUACUCGACCCGAUGUAGCUUUUGCCUUGAGCAUGGUUAGCAGGUAUCAGGCGAACCCUGGCAAGGCACACUGGACUGCGGUAAAGAAUAUCCUCAAGUACCUACGGAGGACUAAGGACUGGGUCCUUACCCUCGGUGGGAGUGAUGACUUGAGAGUUGUAGGGUAUAGUGAUGCUAGCUUCCAGACUGAUAGGGAUAAUUUCCGCUCUCAGUCGGGCUGGGUCUUUACCCUAAACGGAGGAGCAAUUUCUUGGAAGAGUUCCAAGCAAGAGACAGUGGCAGAUUCUACUUGUGAAUCAGAGUAUAUUGCAGCUAGUGAAGCAGCAAAGGAGGCGAUAUGGCUGAAGAACUUCAUUGGAGACCUUGGAGUUGUACCAGCUAUUAAAGAGCCAAUGGAAAUUUUCUGUGAUAGUGAAAGUGCUGUUGCCUUAGCCAAGGAACCAAGGGAUCAUGGGAGAUCCAGACACAUCGACAGAAAAUACCAUUUCAUUAGACAUCGGAUCGAAGAAGGACUCCUCGUGGCAAAGAGGGUAUCAUCGGAUGAGAACCCAGCAGAUCCCCUCACGAAGGGACUGAGUAGGGUUAAGCAUCUCCAGCAUGCUCGGAGCAUAGGGCUGAAGGAUGAUAUAAGUUUUAGUAGUUAGAUAACCCAGAAAUUUGUAAAGUGUAAUUGACAUUUGAUGAUGAAUAAAAGGUGUUUUAUUUAUGAGUAAAGUGUUGCUAUCUCUUGUCGAUCGUUUACUAUAUUUCUUUUGCAUGUUUUGACUUCCAGAAUAAUUUUGUUUGGUAUAACAUAUUAUUCAAACCUCCACAGUCGGUCAUAUGUUGGAAGUAGAUAUGAAUCAAGACUGUCAUGUUUGGUUGUAGAGGUCUUGGACAAGGCUACAACAAUCAUGAGUGCUCAUAAGUUCUGAGCAUUGGACUCAACCCACGCUCACUGGAAUCACUUCAUGGAAUUCUAUCUCGAGUGAUCGUGAGACGGUAAUAUCAUAUAAGUCUUCAAACCUAGAGAUAUGAUUUGUUACUUACAAGUUGGUUAUGCAUUGACUGUACGAAACCGCAUUGGUAACUCGAUGUUAUAAAACGUACUUUUGUGUGUAAUUCAAUGAGUGGUAGAACAAACAUAUGAGUCGAAGUUUAUCUGUUCCUUCUUGGAUUAGAAGCUGAUAUCUGGGCCCCUCGAUGAUUUUGUUUUGACCCAUGUACCGGGCCCGGUCAGAACUAAGUUGAUGUGUUCAAUUAAGUUCUAUGUCAAACAAAUCGGAAAUCGGGAAACAAAUGCUGGACAAUAAGCAAGACAAUGUUCCAUGUAUUUGUCCGGCUGAUAUCUAGAACGGAGGAUUAUAUGAUCACUUAUCUUAAAUGGCGUACCAUCAUCUUCUCAGUUCCGAGAGACCUUGAAAGAGCUACGAUUGCCGGUCGGUUCCUGAAGUACUAGAGAUAUAGUUAUUAGACUUAUCCAAGUGGGAGACUGUUGGAUAAGGUGUCUAAGUCCAUAACUAUUUCGGGCUUGUACUUGACCCGACCCGGCAUGGUCCAUUUGGGUUGCAUGGCACCAUGCAAUUGGAUAGACUAAAUGAGAGAAAUAACACUUGGAGAUUAUUAAUAUAUUAUAAGUUCUAAUAUAUUAAUAAUAUUAUUUGAUUAGUUGAUCAAAGAAUUAAUUUGGAAUUAAUUAAGUGAUCAAAGGAUAACUAAUUAAAUAUAUGGGUUGAUUAUGUAAAUCAUCCAUAUCUUGUAUAGUGGGCUAAGAGGCUCCAUGGAUUAUCAAGUUGGGUUCUACCCAUAGGAUGCUCCAUGGAUGCUCCAUGGGAGUUACAAACCCAUGGGUCAUGGAAAUGAAGAGUCAUGACACAUUAGGGUUUACAUGGUGUAACCCUAGAUGUGCCAACACUAUAUAAGAGUCCCAUUCUCCACAAAAUUGGCUACACAAGUUGAACACUAAGAAACUAGAGGGCUUGGCCGAUUUUGAGAAGUGUGUGUUAUCUCAAGAGUCUUUCCAAGAGCAUUUGGUGUUGUGUGAAGCAUUUGAGGCAUCACACUUGGGGUGCUAGGCUCACAAGGUUUCAAGGAACACAAGCAACAACAAGGUAAGUUAUUCUAUCUAUGAUUCAAGUUAAAAUUGUUCCCCAUGUAUGCUAGAUAGGAAUAUAACCUUGGAAUUCAACUUUGCAUGAUAAUUAGACAAACAUAGAUCCAAGGUUAUUAGGGUUGCAUGUACACUUAGGAAGUGUUAGAAUGCUCAAAACCCAUCAGUGGUAUCAGAGCCUAGGCUUGUUUGUUUGUUAUUUGUGCUUAAAAGUUGAAGAAAGUCGAAAAUUCUGCUGUCUGACUGAUGGACUCGGCGAGUCCAUGGGGAGGACUCGUCGAGUUCAUGUGUAUCUUCAACCUACUCGGCGAGUAGGUUUAUGCACUCGGCGAGUAGGGUCGACAGAGUGCAGAAUUUCGACUUGAGUUGCUGGAAAUGGAUUAGAAUCAUUACCCUAAAAUGUUUUGGUACUUGAAAACUUAUUUUAGAAGGUGUAAUGUCUUUUCUAACUCAUUUACAACAACUAGUUAUCAAAAUUACAAAGAUUAAAUGUGAUUUUGAUUCUUGAAAGUGUUCAUAUUCAUAUUCUUGUUCUUAUGAUGUUUAGAUGAUCAUAGGAAUUAUUUGUAACCUAUGUGGUAGAUUAAUUCAUGAUCAUAAUGUGUUUUAAUGGAGUCCAUAACUUGUCCUCAAGUUAUGGAAAACCAAAAGUCUCUUGGAUUAAAAACCAUUAAAAGAACACAAGAGUUAGGAAAAAUGAAAAGUCCUCAUUUUAUUACUCUAUUAAACUCAUAAGUUACAAGAAAUGAAAAGUUUUGAAAGUUUACAAAACUUGCCCUCAAGUUUUGGAACAAGUAAAGUUAAGUUAAAACUUUAGUUCCAACCCCUAGAAUUUUAAAAGUUAAAAUUCAACCCUUAUACUUAUAUUAUUAUGAUUUAAUAAUUAUAUAUAUAUGUAUAAGAACAAAGUCGUCUUACCGCUAGUACGCCUCAUUCACGAAGCCGGUCUAUAAGGUGGGUAUAAGGUUGUUGCCUAUAAAAUGGUGACUUAAUGGGUGUCCACUCUCACCCACCGCUUGCUUGAUCGGUGGAGGGUCGUUAGCCGAACGGGUAAGACAAGGACUUAUUAAUUCUCAUUCAAAGUAUGAUGAAUAUUAUAAAGUAACUAAAUGUUUUAUUAAAUUCCCAAUCUUAGUUACUUUAGGAAAAAUGUGAAUAAGGUGCUAUUCCAUGAAAUUACACUUUACACUUUGAUUAAGUCGUUGGUGGAGCGUGUGUGGUUAACCGGCACACUAACUUGGACUUAACAAGGUAGGUAAAGGGUGACUUAGGGUUUAUUAUAGUAUCGAUGGAGCGUGUGUGGUUAACCGGCACAUCGAUUGAGUGAUAAACUUUAAGGGUACCAAGUGAUUUGCAUGGUUACUUCACACCUCGUUUUGUGAUCCUCGGUAUCCCAGUCACAAAACUUGGAGGGCACACUCGAGAUUGAAACAUGCCUUUGAAAAGUUCAUUGAAUCUCAAAGAAUCUAGGAAUUUCUAAGAACCAUUCAAAAACCUAAUACUAAAAUAUUGCGGUUUUCGUGGUGGAAAUUGGUGAAUCGUCAUUCACCUACCUUUCAAAUAUGAUAUAGCUUAGAUUACGGCAUACCUCUUCUAAGUUAUAUUAUAUUGUGAUUGGAUCCUAGCCUUAAUAUUACAUUUGGGUGUUUUAUUAAGGACUCUCUUAUAUCUAAACUAAUCUUGUCCUCUUUCCUUCAGAUGUCUUUCAACAAUGCUUCUGGCUCUAAUCCUAAUGGCUCCUUUACCCUUAUGAACUUGUGUGGGAAAGUCACCUUUGAUGGAUCCAACUUCAAUGAGUGGAUCAGAAACAUCAGGAUGAUUACCCGCUACGAGGACAAAGAAUAUGUCCUUGACAAGGAGCUUAAGGAGAUUGAUGAGUCCACUGCAACUCCUCAGGAGAUCGCUGAAUUUCGGGCACAUGAAAGGGAUGCUACGAAAGUGGCUUGCAUCAUGAUGGCCACGAUGACAGCGGAACUCCAAAAGUCUUAUGAGGAUUUCUACCCUUAUGACAUGCACCAAGAUUUGAUGGAAAGAUACCAUCAAAGUGCAAGACAAGAGAGGUAUGAAAUCAUCUGCUCCAUGAUAACAACCAUGAUGAAGGACGGGGAAUCCGUCACGAGCCACAUGCAGAAAAUGCAAAGGUAUGUGGAUCGUUUGCUGAAGCUUAAUGUGAACUUCCCGGAGGAUCUUGCAAUAGAUAUUAUUUUGCAUUCCUUACCAUCGUGCUAUGAUCAAUUCCGCAUGACAUAUCACAUGAACAAGGAAGAAGUCACCCUCAGCAAACUUCAGGGACUUCUCAAGACCGCAGAAACAGGUCUUAAGGGGAAGUCGGUUGCUAUCACUCCUACUCAAAACUCUACUCCGGUUUUGGCAAUCGGGAAAAGUCGAGGGAGGAAGAGAAAGAGCUCUUCUAAGGGUACCAAGGCUCGGACCCUUGAUGGCUCUUCUUCAAGUGGAACCAAGAAAGGUUUCAUUACUCCUUCUUCUGACCCAAAAGAGGCUGAAUGCUUCUAUUGCCAUGAAAAAGCUCAUUGGAAGCGGAACUGCCCAAAAUACCAGCAAGAUGUGAAGGAUGGGAAAGUUAAACCCAACCAUGCAGGUAUUUACACUAUCAUUUCUAAUAACUCACCCCAUUCUAAUUCUUGGGUCCUUGAUACCGGGUGUGGUAUUCACAUUUGUUGUGACUUGCAGGGACUAAGAAGAAGUGAGGAUGUGGAGCAAGGAAGGAUAAACUUGAUCAUGGGGAAUAGGAAAGCUAUACCUGUUACCAAGAUUGGAGUUUAUACUUUAUCGCUAAGUAGUGGGUUUAGUUUAGAUUUGAAUAAGUGUUGUUAUUCGCCAGGAAUGGCAAGAUUUCCCUCUAAAAUGUGCCCAAAAAUAAUUAAAGAAAUACCUGGAUUUCCGGGCUGUUACAUUGGUUCUAUUGAUGCUUUCUUUAAUAAUGUUCUUUAUUUUAAAGCAUUACCUUGUGAUGGUGUGUAUGAAGCUGUAUCUGUUGUAGAUAACUUGGGAAAUAAUGUUUUGUGUAUUGAUUCUACUAAUAAUAACUUGGAUAAAGCAUCUUUAUGGCAUUGUCGUCUUGGACAUAUAAGCAAGAAACGCAUAGGCCAACUCCAAAAGGAUGGAGUCUUGGAGUCGUUUGACCUAAAGUCAGAUGAUAGUUGCGAAUCAUGCUUACUUGGAAAAAUGACAAAGUCACCCUUCACAGGUUCGUGUGAGAGGGGUGAAGGUUUGUUGGACCUUAUACACACGGAUGUGUGUGGACCAUUCAAACAUGCCACAAGGGAUGCUAAUCGUUAUUAUUUGACUUUUACUGAUGAUUAUAGUAGAUAUGGAUAUGUCUACUUGAUCAAGCAUAAGUCAGAGACUUUCGAGAGGUUUAAGGAAUUUAAACAGGAAGUCGAGAAUCAAUUGGGCAGGAACAUUAAGAUGCUUCGAUCCGAUCGUGGUGGUGAGUAUCUUAGUUCAGAGUUCCUCGACUAUCUAAGGGAAUGUGGGAUAGUCUCACAAUUGACACCUCCCAGGACACCACAGUUGAAUGGUGUGGCUGAGAGGCGUAAUCGAACCUUGUUAGAUAUGGUUCGUUCCAUGAUGAGUCGAGCUACGCUACCAAUCUCAUUCUGGGGGUAUGCCUUAGAGACUGCCGCCCAUAUUCUUAAUCUAGUCCCUACAAAGAAAGUUGCCAAAACUCCUCACGAGAUGUGGACUGGUAAAGUACCUAAACUAGACCACAUCAAGAUUUGGGGUUGCGAGGCUUUCGUGAGACGCGAGACUCAUGAUAAGCUCGAACCUCGAAGCGAGAGGUGUAUUUUCAUCGGUUACCCACAGCGAUCCUUUGGUUACCUCUUCUACAGACCUAGUGACAAUGUGGUCUUUGUAGCAAGAAGAGGAGUCUUUCGAGAAAGAGAGUUUAUAAGCCAAGGAGACAGUGGGAGGCAAAUUGAUCUUGAAGAAAUUCAAGAAUCAAGCGGUGAAGGAACUUCAAACUCUAGCCCUCAACUUGAGGAGGAAACUCCUGUUGAGCCAAUUGACAAAUCUGUACCUCUGAGACGUUCCACGAGAGUUAGGAGUGCACCUGAGCAUUACUAUGGAUUCCAUAUUACUGCAGAAGGUGAGACACUUAUUAGUGAUGAGACACUAGUAAGUCAAGAUGACCCUAACAGCUACGAGGAAGCCAUGGCAGGCCCCGAGUCUGCUAAAUGGAAAGAGGCUAUGGAUAGCGAGAUACAAUCCAUGUAUGACAAUCAAGUUUGGAACUUGGUUGAAAAUGUACCAGGUCGUAAGACAGUAGGGUGCAAAUGGGUCUUCAAGAAGAAGACCGACAUGGAUGGUAAAGUACACACUUAUAAGGCUAGACUGGUUGCAAAGGGCUUCUCUCAAAUUCCUGGAGUGGAUUAUGAUGAGACCUUUUCUCCGGUAGCCAAGAUUAAGUCUAUUCGGGUUCUGUUAGCCAUAGCUGCAUUUCAUGACUAUGAAAUAUGGCAGAUGGAUGUCAAAACCGCUUUCCUUAAUGGAAAGUUGGCUGAAGAUGUUUACAUGAGUCAGCCAGAGGGUUUUGUCAGCAACGAGUACCCUAAUAGAGUGUGUAAGCUUGAGAAAUCCAUUUAUGGAUUGAAGCAAGCACCUCGCAGAUGGAAUCUUUGCUUUGAUGAAAAGGUCAAGGAAUUUGGCUUUUCUAGGAGUGAAGAUGAAUCUUGUGUGUAUGUCAAGGCUAGUGGGAGUAUAGUUAGCUUUUUGGUAUUGUAUGUGGAUGACAUACUACUCAUAGGAAACGACAUUCCAACCCUGCAGGAAGUAAAGUCCUGGCUUGGGAAGUGUUUCGCUAUGAAGGACCUUGGUGAAGCUGCCUAUAUUCUAGGGAUAAGAAUCUUGAGAGAUCGGAGUAAAAGACUAAUUGGACUUAGUCAGAGUACCUACUUGGAUAAGGUGCUGAAGAGAUUCAGCAUGCAGGAUUCCAAGAAAGGAGAGUUACCCAUCCAGAGUAACACCAGAUUGAGUAAGACACAAAGCCCUAGCACUGAGGCUGAGAUAGCAGAAAUGAGUCGAACACCUUACGCUUCGGCUGUAGGAUCGAUCAUGUAUGCUAUGACGUGUACUCGACCCGAUGUAGCUUUUGCCUUGAGCAUGGUUAGCAGGUAUCAGGCGAACCCUGGCAAGGCACACUGGACUGCGGUAAAGAAUAUCCUCAAGUACCUACGGAGGACUAAGGACUGGGUCCUUACCCUCGGUGGGAGUGAUGACUUGAGAGUUGUAGGGUAUAGUGAUGCUAGCUUCCAGACUGAUAGGGAUAAUUUCCGCUCUCAGUCGGGCUGGGUCUUUACCCUAAACGGAGGAGCAAUUUCUUGGAAGAGUUCCAAGCAAGAGACAGUGGCAGAUUCUACUUGUGAAUCAGAGUAUAUUGCAGCUAGUGAAGCAGCAAAGGAGGCGAUAUGGCUGAAGAACUUCAUUGGAGACCUUGGAGUUGUACCAGCUAUUAAAGAGCCAAUGGAAAUUUUCUGUGAUAGUGAAAGUGCUGUUGCCUUAGCCAAGGAACCAAGGGAUCAUGGGAGAUCCAGACACAUCGACAGAAAAUACCAUUUCAUUAGACAUCGGAUCGAAGAAGGACUCCUCGUGGCAAAGAGGGUAUCAUCGGAUGAGAACCCAGCAGAUCCCCUCACGAAGGGACUGAGUAGGGUUAAGCAUCUCCAGCAUGCUCGGAGCAUAGGGCUGAAGGAUGAUAUAAGUUUUAGUAGUUAGAUAACCCAGAAAUUUGUAAAGUGUAAUUGACAUUUGAUGAUGAAUAAAAGGUGUUUUAUUUAUGAGUAAAGUGUUGCUAUCUCUUGUCGAUCGUUUACUAUAUUUCUUUUGCAUGUUUUGACUUCCAGAAUAAUUUUGUUUGGUAUAACAUAUUAUUCAAACCUCCACAGUCGGUCAUAUGUUGGAAGUAGAUAUGAAUCAAGACUGUCAUGUUUGGUUGUAGAGGUCUUGGACAAGGCUACAACAAUCAUGAGUGCUCAUAAGUUCUGAGCAUUGGACUCAACCCACGCUCACUGGAAUCACUUCAUGGAAUUCUAUCUCGAGUGAUCGUGAGACGGUAAUAUCAUAUAAGUCUUCAAACCUAGAGAUAUGAUUUGUUACUUACAAGUUGGUUAUGCAUUGACUGUACGAAACCGCAUUGGUAACUCGAUGUUAUAAAACGUACUUUUGUGUGUAAUUCAAUGAGUGGUAGAACAAACAUAUGAGUCGAAGUUUAUCUGUUCCUUCUUGGAUUAGAAGCUGAUAUCUGGGCCCCUCGAUGAUUUUGUUUUGACCCAUGUACCGGGCCCGGUCAGAACUAAGUUGAUGUGUUCAAUUAAGUUCUAUGUCAAACAAAUCGGAAAUCGGGAAACAAAUGCUGGACAAUAAGCAAGACAAUGUUCCAUGUAUUUGUCCGGCUGAUAUCUAGAACAGAGGAUUAUAUGAUCACUUAUCUUAAAUGGCGUAUCAUCAUCUUCUCAGUUCCGAGAGACCUUGAAAGAGCUACGAUUGCCGGUCGGUUCCUGAAGUACUAGAGAUAUAGUUAUUAGACUUAUCCAAGUGGGAGACUGUUGGAUAAGGUGUCUAAGUCCAUAACUAUUUCGGGCUUGUACUUGACCCGACCCGGCAUGGUCCAUUUGGGUUGCAUGGCACCAUGCAAUUGGAUAGACUAAAUGAGAGAAAUAACACUUGGAGAUUAUUAAUAUAUUAUAAGUUCUAAUAUAUUAAUAAUAUUAUUUGAUUAGUUGAUCAAAGAAUUAAUUUGGAAUUAAUUAAGUGAUCAAAGGAUAACUAAUUAAAUAUAUGGGUUGAUUAUGUAAAUCAUCCAUAUCUUGUAUAGUGGGCUAAGAGGCUCCAUGGAUUAUCAAGUUGGGUUCUACCCAUAGGAUGCUCCAUGGAUGCUCCAUGGGAGUUACAAACCCAUGGGUCAUGGAAAUGAAGAGUCAUGACACAUUAGGGUUUACAUGGUGUAACCCUAGAUGUGUCAACACUAUAUAAGAGUCCCAUUCUCCACAAAAUUGGCUACACAAGUUGUACACUAAGAAACAAGAGGGCUUGGCCGAUUUUGAGAAGUGUGUGUUAUCUCAAGAGUCUUUCCAAGAGCAUUUGGUGUUGUGUGAAGCAUUUGAGGCAUCACACUUGGGGUGCUAGGCUCACAAGGUUUCAAGGAACACAAGCAACAACAAGGUAAGUUAUUCUAUCUAUGACUCAAGUUAAAAUUGUUCCCCAUGUAUGCUAGAUAGGAAUAUAACCUUGGAAUUCAAAUUUGCAUGAUAAUUAGACAAAAAUAGAUCCAAGGCUAUUAGGGUUGCAUGUACACUUAGGAAGUGUUAGAAUGCUCAAAACCCAUCAGUAGCAAGGAGGGCUGUCUUUCAAGAGAGAGAGUUCAUAAGCUAAGGAAACACUGGGAGGCAAAUUGACCUUGAAGAACUUCAAGAGUCAAGUGGUGAAGGAACCUUAAAUCCUAGCAGUCAACUUGAGGAGGAACCUCCUGCUGAUCCAAUUAUACCUCCAGUUGUACCUCUGAGGCGUUCCACAAGGGUUAGGAAUGUACCUGAGCAUUACUAUGGUUUCCAUAUUACUGCGGAAGGUGAGAUACUUAUUAGUGAUGAGACACUAGUAGGUCUGGAUGAACCUAACACCUAUGCGGAAGCCAUGGCAGGCCCUGAGUCUGCUAAAUGGAAAGAGGCAACAGAUACGNUCCAUGUAUGACAAUCAAGUUUGGAACUUGGUUGAGAAUGUACCAGGUCGUAAGACUGUAGGGUGCAAAUGGAUCUUCAAGAAGAAGACCGACGUGGAUGGUAAUAUACACACUUAUAAGGCAUGACUGGUUGCAAAGGGCUUUUCUCAAACUCUAGGAGUUGAUUUUGAUGAGACUUUUUCACUAGUAGCCAAGAUUAAGUCUAUUAGUGUAUUGCUAGCCAUAGCUGCAUUUCAUGACUAUGAAAUAUGGCAAAUGGAUGUCAAAACCGCUUUCCUUAACGUAAAGUUGGUUGAGGAUGUUUACAUGAGUCAGCCAGAGGGUUUUGUCAGCAACGAGUACCCUAAUAGAGUGUGUAAGCUUGAGAAAUCCAUUUAUGGAUUGAAGCAAGCACCUCGCAGAUGGAAUCUUUGCUUUGAUGAAAAGGUCAAGGAAUUUGGCUUUUCUAGGAGUGAAGAUGAAUCUUGUGUGUAUGUCAAGGCUAGUGGGAGUAUAGUUAGCUUUUUGGUAUUGUAUGUGGAUGACAUACUACUCAUAGGAAACGACAUUCCAACCCUGCAGGAAGUAAAGUCCUGGCUUGGGAAGUGUUUCGCUAUGAAGGACCUUGGUGAAGCUGCCUAUAUUCUAGGGAUAAGGAUCUUGAGAGAUCGGAGUAAAAGACUAAUUGGACUUAGUCAGAGUACCUACUUGGAUAAAGUGCUGAAGCGAUUCAGCAUGCAGGAUUCCAAGAAAGGAGAGUUACCCAUCCAGAGUAACACCAGAUUGAGUAAGACACAAAGCCCUAGCACUGAGGCUGAGAUAGCAGAAAUGAGUCGAACACCUUACGCUUCGGCUGUAGGAUCGAUCAUGUAUGCUAUGACGUGUACUCGACCCGAUGUAGCUUUUGCCUUGAGCAUGGUUAGCAGGUAUCAGGCGAACCCUGGCAAGGCACACUGGACUGCGGUAAAGAAUAUCCUCAAGUACCUACAGAGGACUAAGGAUU